GGUCAGCAUCAGUUUGAGUGGUUAGAUAAAGGCUUAGAGAAUGUGGCCCUCUUCGGGGGGUGUUAUAGCUCUAGGUGCAAUGUAGCCUACUUGGACUGAGGACCGCGCUUCGGCUAGGAUGCUGGCGUAAUGGUUGUAAGCGA
rnacentral:rRNA from 2 species